CCUAAGGUAGCGAAAUUCCUUGUCGGGUAAGUUCCGACCUGCACGAAUGGCGUAACGACUUCCCCACUGUCUCGACCAGGAGCUCGGCGAAAUUGCAGUACGAGUAAAGAUGCUCGUUAAGCGCAGAAGGACGAAAAGACCCCGGGACCUUUACUAUACCUUGGUAUUGGCAUUCGGUGUGGAUUGUGUAGCAUAGGCGGGAGGCCGAGAGGCGCGGUCGCCAGAUCGCGCGGAGCCGUAAGGUGAAAUACCGCUCUGUUCGCAUUGGAUGUCUAACCUCGAACAGUCAUCCUGUUCAGGGACAGUGCCUGGCGGGUAGUUUAACUGGGGCGGUUGCCUCCCAAAGAGUAACGGAGGCGCCCAAAGGUCCGCUCAGCCCGGUUGGCAAUCGGGUGGCGAGUGCAAGUGCACAAGCGGGCUUGACUGCGAGGACGACGGUCCGAGCAGGGACGAAAGUCGGGACUAGUGAUCCGGUGCCGGUGUACGGACGCGGCAUCGCUCAACGGAUAAAAGGUACCCCGGGGAUAACAGGCUGAUCAUUCCCAAGAGUCCAUAUCGACGGGAUGGUUUGGCACCUCGAUGUCGGCUCGUCGCAUCCUGGGGCUGGAGCAGGUCCCAAGGGUUCGGCUGUUCGCCGAUUAAAGCGGCACGCGAGCUGGGUUCAGAACGUCGUGAGACAGUUUGGUCUCUAUCCUCUGCGCUCGUUGGAAUGCUGAGGAGGCCUGCCCAUAGUACGAGAGGACCUGGGUGGACGAACCUCUGGUAUGCCGGUUGUCACGCCAGUGGCACGGCCGGUUGGCUACGUUCGGAAGGGAUAACCGCUGAAAGCAUCUAAGCGGGAAGCCUGCUCCAAGAUAAGCAUUCCGUGGAACCUUCGAGUUCCUGUAGUCCCCAUGCAGAACACGUGGUCGAUAGGCCGGACGUGGAAGCCCCGCGAGGGGUGGAGCCGACCGGUACUAACGGACGAAAGGCAACACUGA
rnacentral:rRNA from 1 species